AGUCACGGCCUCCGGUGAUCACAGCCUCUGGGACCAGGGUCGCUUGGUCCGUGCUCCGCCUCGCCAUGACUUCCUACAGCUAUCGCCUGUGGUCGUCCACGUCGUCCUUCGGGGGCCUGGGCGGCGGCUCCGUGCGUUUUGGGCCGGGUGUCGCCUUUCGCGUACCUAGCAUACACGGGGGCUCCGGCGGCCACGGCGUGUCCGUGUCCUCCACUCGCUUCGUGUCCUCAUCCUCCUCGGGGGGCUACGGCGGUGGCUAUGGCGGCAUCCUGGCCACUUCCGACGGGCUGCUGGCGGGCAACUAGAAGCUCACCAUGCAGAACCUCAGCGACCGCCUGGCCUCCUACCUGGACAAGGUGCGCGCCCUGGAGGCGGCCAACGGCGAGCUGGAGGUGAAGAUCCGUGACUGGUACCAGAAGCAGGGGCCCGGGCCCUCCCGCGACUACAGCCACUACGACAAGACCAUCCAGGACCUGCGGGACCAGAUUCUUGGUGCCACCAUUGAGAACUCCAGGAUUGUCCUGCAGAUUGACAAUGCCCGUCUGGCUGCCGAUGACUUCCGAACCAAGUUUGAGACGGAACAGGCUUUGCGCAUGAGCGUGGAGGCCGACAUCAACGGCCUGCGCAGAGUGCUGGAUGAGCUGACCCUGGCCAGGACUGACCUGGAAAUGCAGAUUGAAGGGCUGAAGGAAGAGCUGGCCUACCUGAAGAAGAACCAUGAGGAGGAACUCAGUGUGCUGAGGGGCCAAGUGGGAGGCCAGGUCAGUGUGGAGGUGGAUUCAGCUCCAGGCACCGAUCUCGUCAAGAUCCUGAGUGACAUGCGAAGCCAAUAUGAGGUCAUGGCCGAGCAGAACCGGAAGGACGCUGAAGCCUGGUUCACCAGCCAGACUGAAGAACUGAACCAGGAGGUCGCUGUCCACAGAGAGCAGCUCCAGAUGAGCAACACCGAGGUCAGUGACCUGCGGCGCACCCUCCAGGGUCUUGAGAUUGAGCUGCAGUCACAGCUGAGCAUGAAAGCCAGCUGGGAAGGCACACUGGCAGAAACGGAGGCGCGCUUUGGAGCCCAGCUGGCGGAGAUCCAGGCGCGGAUCAGUGGUAUUGAAGCCCAGCUGGGCGAUGUGCGGGCUGAUAGUGAGCAGCAGAAUCAGGAGUACCAUCGGCUCUUGGAGGUCAAGUCGCGGCUGGAGCAGGAGAUCGCCACCUACCGCAGCCUGCUGGAGGGCCAGGAAGAUCGCUACAACAACCUGUCUGCCUCCAAGGUCCUCUGAGAAGGCAGCAGGCCCGGGGCUUCUGUUGUCCUUUGGAGGGGGUCUCCUGGGUGAGGAGAUGGGAAGGAAGGGACCCUUAUUCCCGGCACGUCCCUUGACCUGCCAAUAAAAUUUUAUGGUUCAAGGGGGAAAAAAAAAAAAAGUCACACCACCACCCAGAGAAAGCUCUUGGUAUCGUCUUCCAGAGCUCUCACUGCCUCUUUCAAGGAAUUAGUUCUUCUGUCUCAUCAAUAACUAUUUAUUGAGGUCCUGCUCUGUGCUGGGCUCUGCCUGGAUCCUGGGGAGAAAGGGUGGAGCUGUCUUCAAGGGACAGACAUGAAUCAAAGCCCUGAUCAUGCUCCCAGCCUAGGAGAAAGAAAAGAAAAGAGAAAAGAAAGGAAAGGAAAAGGAAAGAAAGAAAGAGAGAAAGAGAGAGAGGAAGAGAGAAAGAGAGCAAGAGAGAGGGAGGCAGGGAAGGAAGGAAGGAAAAAAGGAAAAAAGAAGGAAAAGAAGGAAGGAAGGAAAAAGAAAGAGAGAAAGAAGGAAAGACAGAAAGAGAAAGAGAGAAAAAGGGGAGAAAGAGAAAGAAAUAAAAGAAAUAAAAGAAAGGGAAGAAAGGAAGGAAAAGGAAGAAAGGAAGGAAGGAAAGAAAGAAAACCUCUGUAUCCAUGAGCAGUUACUUCUCAUCCCCUCGGCCCUUGGAAACCAUGAAUCUUUCUGUCUCUGGAUUUGCCAGUUCUGACAUUUGGUAUAUAUGAUAUCAUACAAUAUGCGGCCUGUUGUGACUGCCCCCCUUGCACCAUGCAUCCUAUCAAGCAAUAUUCUAAGCAGGUGCAAGAGCUCCUGCAA